UACAUGUGGGGCAAGCGUUGUUCGGAAUUACUGGGCAUAAAGGGUGCGUAGGUGGCUUGUUAAGUCAGGGGUGAAAGUUUUCGGCCCAACCGGAAAAUGGCCUUUGAUACUGGCGAGCUCGAGUGCGUGAGAGGUAACCGGAACGAGCAGUGUAGCGGUGAAAUGCGUAGAUAUUGCUCGGACGGCCAACGGCGAAGGCAGGUUACUGGUACGCAACUGACACUGAGGCACGAAAGCGUGGGGAGCAAACAGG
rnacentral:rRNA from 1 species